ACGCUGUCCAUGGCGGUUCGCCCAGCGCCAGUUGCGGCAUUUCUAACGCAGCCCCGGAUUUAAUCAGGCUCGAAUAAUCCGGUGUCAAAGCAUUUGGUCAUCGAGAGAGGGAAAAAAAUCACGUCGGUCCGCCAUCCCCCUUUUCUUGCAGGUACUUGUCCUCCGGCGACUUGAUUCAGGACAUGGCCCUCUUUUUUUGAGUGGGCAUAUUGGCGGCCCGGUUGGCGGUGUGGGUCACCUGCAAGGCUCUGUGGACCAGUCUCCAGCCACUCUAUCUGGCGGGGACCAUCGCGGCCAGUGGUUUCGAUGGGAACGCAGACGUCUCCGGACGACCUGCAUCUCCCGUCACGGUCCCCCUCGAAACCCCGAGGAGCGGCGCUAGUGGCACAGCCUCCGAACCGCAAGAGCAAUCGAGGGGUCCUCCAGCGGUCUGCCUUGGGCCAGCUCCUUGAGCAAGGCCGUCUGAAGCUGCCGAAGGACUUGCCACUGCCCAGCACAAGGCUCCCUGCUCUGUGUGCUCGUGGGGGAUGAGGCGUUCCAGCUGAGGCCGGAUUUCCUCAGGCCCUGUCCCGGACGUCGGCCUUGACGGCGACAAACGUCUCUUCAAUUACCGCCUUAGCCGACCAAGGUGAAAUAAACUAGGUCUAGACUCUUGUAAGGACAGAGUUCCUUGAAAAUCUGCAUGUUCAAUGUACUGUAAAUCACUUCAUUUUCAUUCAUUUCGAAACCUGACGAUGGUGGCAUAGAACUAGCUCCGCAAAUAUAUUACGCCACAUUAUGAAUACAUACCAAAUCACGCCACAUCGCAAAAUAUUGUGUCCGCGAAUUAUUUCCAAAACUUGAAUUUUUAAAGAUAUAAAAUAUGCAAUACGAGAUUUUAGUCGCACAGUAUCGAAAUUCGUAAAACUCUCACGGGACACCUGUGGCUCGGAACAUGCCUUUGUGCCUGAACGCAGAAAUGUGCAGUUUGAUAUCGGCCUUAGCCAUUAUCUAAAAGGCCCAUGUCACAACUACAUGUCGCUUCAUACAUUUCUUUGAAUGGCAUGAAGUACAGAAACUUCACUGUGCAAGUUUCUUUUUGUGCUCCUGCCCUAUAAAACUUGACAAAAUAUAGAAAUGCCGCGAACCCUGCAUGUAAACCGGAAGCAUGUGCUAUUGCAGACAAACAUCCCCUGGACGCACGAGCAUUCACCGAAAUGCAUAGGUGCGCUAUCCGCUGGGGGCUCACCUGGGUUUGAGACCACAUAAUAGCGCACGCGAGUCUUUUUUAG